rnacentral:tRNA from 1 species
GCCUGGGUGGCUCAGUCGGUUGAGCGUCUGACUUCGGCUCAGGUCAUGAUCUCACAGUCUGUGGGUUCGAGCCCCACACCAGGCU